GAUGAACGCUGGCGGCGUGCCUAAUACAUGCAAGUCGAGCGAACAGAUAAGGAGCUUGCUCCUUUGACGUUAGCGGCGGACGGGUGAGUAACACGUGGAUAACCUACCUAUAAGACUGGGAUAACUUCGGGAAACCGGAGCUAAUACCGGAUAACAUAUUGAACCGCAUGGUUCAAUAGUGAAAGGCGGCUUUGCUGUCACUUAUAGAUGGAUCCGCGCCGUAUUAGCUAGUUGGUAAGGUAACGGCUUACCAAGGCAACGAUACGUAGCCGACCUGAGAGGGUGAUCGGCCACACUGGAACUGAGACACGGUCCAGACUCCUACGGGAGGCAGCAGUAGGGAAUCUGCCGCAAUGGGCGAAAGCCUGACGGAGCAACGCCGCGUGAGUGAUGAAGGUCUUCGGAUCGUAAAACUCUGUUAUCAGGGAAGAACAAAUGUGUAAGUAACUGUGCACAUCUUGACGGUACCUGAUCAGAAAGCCACGGCUAACUACGUG
rnacentral:rRNA from 1 species